GCGGAAGUUUACAGUUGGAUACCCCCGACCCUCCUCCCUUCCAUGUCAAAAUAUUCAAGAAAAACUAUCCCCGCCCAGAUAUGUCAGUAAAACUGAACGACUGCAGUUCAACACUGGAAGUCAAUGUGAUUGUCGAAGGUGGUGAUAAUGAAGGAGAAGACAGAAGAGAUGGCAGUGAAGUUGAUUUGGGGCUUAACGAGGUCAAGGUUGACAUGGCUGACAGGAACAGGAAUGAAGAGGAGGGUGUGAGGGAGGGUAGGUGCAGUAGCUAGCUAGCUAAAGCAGAGAUGACCACCUUCCAUCCAAUGCUCAAUUCUGAUUAGGGCCAGUCCCCGUCACUCAUUAAAAUGAUACGCCCACUUGGGUGUUAAGGACUUGGUACAUCAUUUGACUGAACGCCUGAUCAAAGUCAACAACCUGCAGGAGUGGAAUUGCACCUAUUCCCUCAGCUGGUCAUUCUCAUGAAAAUAUACUCAGCUGAGUGAUCUUGGUGCAUUGUGGGAAACUUCACCUGAACAAGAGUAAGGCCACACAGACUUUCUUUAAAAAG
ensembl:lncRNA